GCUACGUGUCGCUUGUCUCUUUUGUCGCUCUGAAGAUGCCUUCAAGUGCAGUCGGAAACGUAGAAAUCUAUAAACGAUCUGACGGACAACAGUAAUUGUGAAAUAUAAAAAGGAGCUGUUUAACAGAUCAAGGAGUAUUUUCAACCUGAUGACCCUCCUCUCCACUAAGACUCUGGACCCACUGUCACUCUCUGUAUUUAUGAUCAAAGCAUGCCGGACCCACACUGGAGUACUGGAGCUACUGGGACCAGUUCUUACAGGCACAAAGAGACAUUAUUUUUCCCGCAUUAAAAGCCGGAUUGUUUCUGGGCUGAAUUGGAGGCGAACCGUGACACAGGAUGGAGACAGCAGAUCGUUCUGACCCAGAUGUCUGGAUUACAGAGCACAGUGCAGCUGCAGUAGGGCACUCGGGGCCAGUCAAGCAUGUCUUGUAUGCAUUAUGUAAAGCGGGAUUAAAACAAAGCACAGUAGAAACUGCGGGGAUCAGCCUCGGCCCCAAAUCUGUACAGACCACAGCCAUUUUUAGGAAACGGUGCAGAGAUAUACAUCUUUAGAAAUCCUUUAAGAUCAUUGAAUAAUAUGUUCUGGUGUUAAAGCGCUAACAUGAAGCCACAGUGACUGACUUGAGUGAGCUUUAACUAAGCCUGCACAAUAUAUAUAUAAAUAUAUUAACUGGCACAAUACACAUCUGGCAAA